rnacentral:rRNA from 1 species
GGCACUACGGUGCUGAAGCAACAAAUGCCCUGCUUCCAGGAAAAGCCUCUAAGCAUCAGGUAACAUCAAAUCGUACCCCAAACCGACACAGGUGGUCAGGUAGAGAAUACCAAGGCGCUUGAGAGAACUCGGGUGAAGGAACUAGGCAAAAUGGUGCCGUAACUUCGGGAGAAGGCACGCUGAUAUGUAGGUGAAGCGACUUGCUCGUGGAGCUGAAAUCAGUCGAAGAUACCAGCUGGCUGCAACUGUUUAUUAAAAACACAGCACUGUGCAAACACGAAAGUGGACGUAUACGGUGUGACGCCUGCCCGGUGCCGGAAGGUUAAUUGAUGGGGUUAGCGGUAACGCGAAGCUCUUGAUCGAAGCCCCGGUAAACGGCGGCCGUAACUAUAACGGUCCUAAGGUAGCGAAAUUCCUUGUCGGGUAAGUUCCGACCUGCACGAAUGGCGUAAUGAUGGCCAGGCUGUCUCCACCCGAGACUCAGUGAAAUUGAACUCGCUGUGAAGAUGCAGUGUACCCGCGGCAAGACGGAAAGACCCCGUGAACCUUUACUAUAGCUUGACACUGAACAUUGAGCCUUGAUGUGUAGGAUAGGUGGGAGGCUUUGAAGUGUGGACGCCAGUCUGCAUGGAGCCGACCUUGAAAUACCACCCUUUAAUGUUUGAUGUUCUAACGUUGGCCCGUUAUCCGGGUUGCGGACAGUGUCUGGUGGGUAGUUUGACUGGGGCGGUCUCCUCCUAAAGAGUAACGGAGGAGCACGAAGGUUGGCUAAUCCUGGUCGGACAUCAGGAGGUUAGUGCAAUGGCAUAAGCCAGCUUGACUGCGAGCGUGACGGCGCGAGCAGGUGCGAAAGCAGGUCAUAGUGAUCCGGUGGUUCUGAAUGGAAGGGCCAUCGCUCAACGGAUAAAAGGUACUCCGGGGAUAACAGGCUGAUACCGCCCAAGAGUUCAUAUCGACGGCGGUGUUUGGCACCUCGAUGUCGGCUCAUCACAUCCUGGGGCUGAAGUAGGUCCCAAGGGUAUGGCUGUUCGCCAUUUAAAGUGGUACGCGAGCUGGGUUUAGAACGUCGUGAGACAGUUCGGUCCCUAUCUGCCGUGGGCGCUGGAGAACUGAGGGGGGCUGCUCCUAGUACGAGAGGACCGGAGUGGACGCAUCACUGGUGUUCGGGUUGUCAUGCCAAUGGCACUGCCCGGUAGCUAAAUGCGGAAGAGAUAAGUGCUGAAAGCAUCUAAGCACGAAACUUGCCCCG